CUUCUUUUUUAGUUUGAACAUUCCCAGUUACUUUAAUCCUUUCUUGUAUAUUUGUCAUUUAAGCUCAGAUCAUUCUUGAUCCUCUUCUCUGAAUUGAUUCCAAUUAGUUCAUAUGUUUGACUGGAUUUGAAGGGCAGUAUUCAAAAUUGGAUAGAGUACUCCAGCUGCAUUCUAAACAGUAGUAUAGUAAUACAGAAAGAU